ensembl:lncRNA
CUAGUAGGUGCCCUUACAGACACAUUACAGGAAGGGCUGUGGAUCUAGUAGGUGUCCUUACAGACACAUUACAGGAAGGGCUGUGGAUCUAGUAGGUGCCCUUACAGACACAUUACAGGAAGGGCUGUGGAUCUAGUAGGUGCCCUUACAGACACAUUACAGGAAGGGCUGUGGAUCUAGUAGGUGCCCUUACAGACACAUUACAGGAAGGGCUGUGGAUCUAGUAGGUGCCCUUACAGACACAUUACAGGAAGGGCUGUGGAUCUAGUAGAGGCCCUUACAGACACAUUACAGGAAGGGCUGUGGAUCUAGUAGAGGCCCUUACAGACACAUUACAGGAAGGGCUGUGGAUCUAGUAGGUGCCCUUACAGACACAUUACAGGAAGGGCUGUGGAUCUAGUAGGUGCCCUUACAGACACAUUACAGGAAGCGCUGUGGAUGUAGUAGGUGCCCUUACAGACACAUUACAGGAAGGGCUGUGGAUCUAGUAGGUGCCCUUACAGACACAUUACAGGAAGCGCUGUGGAUCUAGUAGGUGCCCUUAGACACAUUACAGGAAUGGCUGUGGAUCUAGUAGGUGCCUUUACAGACACAUUACAGGACUACAGAAGGUAGGGUUACUAUGGAGAACUUUGGAAAGAGGUUGAAGAGAUUGCAGAGCUCUGUGAAAUAAGUGUACAAACAGUAUGUUAAAGACAGUCUAAAACAAGCGUGUGAUUCCACAAAUCAUUGAUGAUGAGCACUGUAGGACAGAAAGAUAGUGACCAAAGUGAUGGUGAGAGCUUCCAAAGAGCUGUCUUUUAUCAGCUGCUCGACAGUCUCACAGCUGAGCUGCAGAGGAGUUUUUCAAAGAAGAAUUGCGAGAUAAUGCAAGGGGCCCAGUCUCUCAACCCAAAGAGGACAACAUCCUUCAAUGUGGAACCUCUGUUUGCCUUUGCUCAAACAUGAGGUUCAUCAAACCAAGCGGCUUCUUAAUAGGAGAGAGCAAAGUGGAAGGGACUACUCUCCUUGACUUGGUUGUGUUUCUAGAACCUUAUAAAGAGGUCUUCCAUGAGCUAUUUAGACUCUGUAAGAUUUCUGUUACACCAGUCAGCACUGCUGGAAGAGGGGGAGGGGGACGUCGGGAGUACGGAUGGUGUUCUCACCGGUAGAUAUGGAGCAGGGGAGCAUCGGGUGAGUCUCCUGUUUUUGUUUUUUUCUGUCUGGGUUUAGUAUUUGAGUUAAAUUUUUGAUGUUUUUCUUUUUUUCUUUCAUGGGGUCUAAUUUUACUUUUGUUAGUUUAAAUGUAAGGGUUAAGGGAUUUUGUUAAGAGGAGGGCGGUAUUUAGUUAUUUGGAGGGUGUGGGGUUUGAUUUUUGUUUUUUACAUGAGGUUCACCUGAGGGAUGGAGGGAUGUUAGUAGGUUUAAGAGGGAGUGGGACAAGGGGGAGUCGGUUUGGGGUAUUGGGGGGGUGCACUCAUCGGAGGUAGGGAUUUUGUGUGGGCACAGGGAGGUAAAAAGUGGAGGGUUGAUGUUGGUGUAUGGGCCACAGGUGGCGGCAGACAGGAGGGAGAUGGUGGACUGUCUGGCGCCCCUGUGCGUCACAAAUAGGAAAUUAGUGAUAGGGGUGGAUUUUAAUAUAGAUUUAGGAGUAGGGGGGAAUAGCAGUGCAGGUGCCAUCACCAGGCUAAUGGCUUGCCAUGGUCUGGUUGAUGGUGGCCUGCACACUACUCUGAAAAUGGCCGGUCCUACAUGGCGCAACUCCAGGGGGGUUUCGCGGAGGCUCGACUAUAUUUUUGUAUCCAGGUCUUUGGCUAAGUUGUCUGGGCGGCUGUUGCCUGUUUUCUUUUCAGAUCACAACGGGGUGCUCCUGCAGGUGGGGACGCCAGUCUGCCUCUUCGGUAGGGG